UAUUAAGGCCCAAGUACCCCAAAGGCACCAGAACCCAUCUGAUCUUGGAUGCUAAGCAGGAGAGCCCAGGUUAGUACUUAGGUAGGAGACAACUAGUGAAUACCAGCUGCUGUAGGCU
rnacentral:rRNA from 1 species